UACGGAGGGUGCAAGCGUUGUCCGGAUUUAUUGGGUUUAAAGGGUGCGUAGGCGGCCUGUUAAGUCAGAGGUGAAAUCCCGUGGCUCAACCACGGAACUGCCUUUGAUACUGGCAGGCUUGAGUAAGGUCGAGGCGGGCGGAACUGGUGGUGUAGCGGUGAAAUGCAUAGAUACCAUCAAGAACCCCGAUUGCGAAGGCAGCUCGCUGGACCUUAACUGACGCUGAGGCACGAAAGCGUGGGGAGCGAACAGG
rnacentral:misc_RNA from 1 species